GGCUUCCACAGAAGUUCUAACAGUUUACCUUUAACCGUUUACAGUUUACCCUUGCGUUUACCAUGAUCCGUUUACAGUAAACGGAAAACAGAAAACGCAUUGAAAACGGUAAGUGGAAAACAGUAAACACCAGUUGGAGCUUGUGUGGAAGUACACGAGCGGCGGACGGCUGAGUAACGCGUAGGAACGUAUCCUAAAGUGAGGAAUAAGCCCGGGAAACCGGGUCUAAUGCCGCAUAAUCUCUUCGGAGGAAAGCAUUUAUGCGCUUUUGGAGCGGCCUGCGUACGAUUAGGUUGUUGGUGAGGUAAAGGCUCACCAAGCCGAUGAUCGUUAGCUGGUCUGAGAGGAUGACCAGCCAGACUGGGACUGAGACACGGCCCAGACCCCUACGGGGGGCAGCAAUUAGGAAUCUUUCGCAAUGGGGGAAACCCUGACGGAGCGACGCCGCGUGCAGGAGGAAGGCCUUCGGGUUGUAAACUGCUUUUAACGGGGACGAUUAUGACGGUACCCGUAGAAUAAGGACCUGCUAACUACGUGCCAGCAGCCGCGGUCAAACGUAGGGUCCAAGCGUUAUCCGGAAUUACUGGGCGUAAAGAGUUGCGUAGGUGGCAUGUAAAGCGAGCAGUGAAAGAUCCCGGCUCAACCGGGAAUACAUUGUUCGAACUCACAAGCUAGAGCACAGUAGAGGUACCUGGAAUUUCUAGUGUAGGAGUGAAAUCCGUAGAUAUUAGAAGGAACACCGAUGGCGUAAGCAGGGUACUGGGCUGUUGCUGACACUAAGGCACGAAAGCGUGGGGAGCGAACGGGAUUAGAUACCCCGGUAGU
rnacentral:rRNA from 1 species